rnacentral:rRNA from 1 species
AUUGAACGCUGGCGGCAUGCUUUACACAUGCAAGUCGAACGGUAACAGGGUGCUUGCACCGCUGACGAGUGGCGAACGGGUGAGUAAUGCGUCGGAACGUGCCGAGCAGUGGGGGAUAACGCAGCGAAAGUUGUGCUAAUACCGCAUACGUACUGAGGUAGGAAGUGGGGGACCUUCGGGCCUCACGCUAUUCGAGCGGCCGACGUCUGAUUAGCUAGUAGGUGAGGUAAAGGCUCACCUAGGCGACGAUCAGUAGCGGGUCUGAGAGGAUGAUCCGCCACACUGGGACUGAGAAACGGCCCAGACUCCUACGGGAGGCAGCAGUGGGGAAUUUUGGACAAUGGGCGAAAGCCUGAUCCAGCCAUGCCGCGUGUCUGAAGAAGGCCUUCGGGUUGUAAAGGACUUUUGUCAGGGAGGAAAUCCCUAGUGCUAAUAACACUGGGGGAUGACAGUACCUGAAGAAUAAGCACCGGCUAACUACGUGCCAGCAGCCGCGGUAA